rnacentral:lncRNA from 1 species
GGGAAAGUGUCUACAUUUGCCCUUGCUCUAAUGCCAGCAUUGAAGCCUCAAAUCUACCAAGGAGCUAGAAAACUCAGGAACCAUCACUGCCCUACCGUCCUCACCAAGUACAGCACUGAUCUUCCACUCAGUAUGAGAAGACAGAAGCACUGACAGGAGCCAGGCACACAGGCCGUGCAGCAGGGACUCCGUGGCUGGCACACUAGAGUGGAAGACCUUGAACCUCCUAAAUUCUGAAUCAUGUGACUACAUUACUAUUCAAAGAUGACACACAUGGAUUAAAGGAAAGCACACUCCUGUCUGGAAA